CUUUAUAAACCCAUUCUGAGUACCUUACCCGUUGCUUCCGUGAGGCAGUGACUUCGGUCCCUCCAACGAUGACGUCAGUCAUUCGAGGAGAGUACUCACGGGAGGUAUACAUUAAACUCUUGCAUUACCAUGUCAUCUGUCUGAUUAUGUUUAUAACAAAUUAUUAAAACUUUCAACAACGGAUCUCUUGGUUCUCGCAUCGAUGAAGAACGCAGCGAAAUGCGAUAAGUAGUGUGAAUUGCAGAAUUCAGUGAAUCAUCGAAUCUUUGAACGCACAUUGCGCCUCCUGGUAUUCCGGGAGGCAUGCCUGUUCGAGCGUCAUUAAAAACCACUCAAGCUCUUUUGCUUGGUUAUGGAAGAGGAGUAUGUUAGACAUUCUCCCUUUCGAAAUUCAAAGGCGGAAAGCCCCAUGUGCCCCGGCGUAGUAAGUUUUCUUUCGCUUGGAACAUGAGGUGAUCCUGCCACAAACCCCCAAUUUUUCUAGGUUGACCUCGGAUCAGGUAGGGAUACCCGCUGAACUUAAGCAUAUCAAUAAGCGGAG
rnacentral:rRNA from 1 species